rnacentral:rRNA from 1 species
AGAAUCAACGCUGGCGGCGUGCCUAACACAUGCAAGUCGAGCGAGAAAGUGGAGCAAUCCAUGAGUAAAGCGGCGCACGGGUGAGUAACACGUGACUAACCUGCCCUUGAGUGGGGAAUAACCUGGGGAAACCCGGGCUAAUACCGCAUAACACCUACGGGUCAAAGGAGCAAUUCGCUUAAGGAGGGGGUCGCGGCAGAUUAGUUAGUUGGCGGGGUAAUGGCCCACCAAGACGAUGAUCUGUAUCCGGCCUGAGAGGGCGCACGGACACACUGGAACUGAAACACGGUCCAGACUCCUACGGGAGGCAGCAGUGGGGAAUUUUGCGCAAUGGGGGAAACCCUGACGCAGCAACGCCGCGUGGAGGAUGAAGUCCCUUGGGACGUAAACUCCUUUCGAUCGGGACAUUAUGACGGUACCGGAAGAAGAAGCCCCGGCUAACUUCGCGCCAGCACGCCGC